UUGCCUCAGUAACGGCGAGUGAAGCGGCAAAAGCUCAGAUUUGAAAUCUGGCGUCUUCGGCGUCCGAGUUGUAAUCUGUAGAGGAUGCCUUUGGGUGGCCACCGGUCUAAGUCCCCUGGAACGGGGUGUCACAGAGGGUGAGAAUCCCGUAUGUGACCGGGAAGGCGCCCUAUACAUGGCUCCUUCGACGAGUCGAGUUGUUUGGGAAUGCAGCUCUAAAUGGGAGGUAAAUUCCUUCUAAAGCUAAAUACCGGCCAGAGACCGAUAGCGCACAAGUAGAGUGAUCGAAAGAUGAAAAGCACUUUGGAAAGAGAGUUAAAAAGCACGUGAAAUUGUUGAAAGGGAAGCGCUUGCAACCAGACUUGUUGGCGGUGUUCCGCCGGUCUUCUGACCGGUCUACUCACCGUCUGCAGGCCAGCAUCAUCUGGGGCCGCUGGAUAAAAGCGGAGGGAAUGUGGCUCCUCCGGGAGUGUUAUAGCCCUCUGUGUAAUACAGCGAGUCCCGGGUGAGGUCCGCGCUUCGGCUAGGAUGCUGGCGUAAUGGUCGUAAGCGGCCCGUCUUGAAACACGGACCAAGGAGUCUAACAUCUAUGCGAGUGUUCGGGUGUCAAACCCCUACGCGUAAUGAAAGUGAACGGAGGUGGGAACCUUUUAGGUGCACCAUCGACCGAUCCUGAUGUCUUCGGAUGGAUUUGAGUAAGAGCAUAGCUGUUGGGACCCGAAAGAUGGUGAACUAUGCCUGGAUAGGGUGAAGCCAGAGGAAACUCUGGUGGAGGCUCGCAGCGGUUCUGACGUGCAAAUCGAUCGUCAAAUUUGGGUAUAGGGGCGAAAGACUAAU
rnacentral:rRNA from 1 species